UGCAAGCAUUUCCUGACACACAGAACGCAGGCAGAAAAAGGAAAAACGUCGACUUGAGAAAAGCACAGCUUCCAAUCCCCACCCACGAGCUUCAGUCAAAGGGAUGACUUCAGUCCUUUUCUUAACUAAUCCUGUCACUGUAAAAUCCUACAGUCAUUCUUCCACACAUAAAGGGAAAACGGACUCACUAGGAGGACCUAGACUCGUUCAGCUUGAACUGUUAACCAAUGGUGGAAAUGCAAGAAUGCUGAAGUUGUGCCUUCGGAGCCAAUAGAGUGGAUUUGUGUGUCCCACAUGACUGUGUUUCCCCCGUCUUUCACAUGGGCAGUAUUUAGUUCAAUUCAGAACUGCAGAUAGUAUAGUGUGCAGAGCAGCAAUGGGAUGUCUGAGCACAAGUGGCUGACUUCCAGGCGACUUCAGGAAGCACAUUUAUAUAUUUCUCCUUAAUUAAACUGGGAUUCUGCACCCUUGACAUCCUCCGACCCUCCUUGCUUCUGCAGAAGGAGACGGUGACCUGCACAGCACAACAAAACUACAAAUCACCACAGAGCUGCAGACCAGCAAAUGAAGUGAAAAGGGGGCAAUUUGACCAACAUCACCUGUGUCGGUUACCCAGAAGUCGACGAAACAUGUUAUCGGGUUUCCAAGUUCCCCAACAGGCUAUAUUAAUGACACUCCGGCCUUUAGGUAUAUUGUGAUUUUUAAAGUGAUCAGAACUGGAUGAAAAAGAGUACAAGACAUCUUCCACCAAAUGACAAGAUAAACAGCAAUUCAUAGAAGACAAUCAUUUCUAUACACCAAGCUAAGAGUGGGCCUAGCAAAAAAGAACCCAGACCAGCUGAGCUGCAAGAUGACCUUCUGCAGAACUCUGCCCACAAAUGCAAAUAAGAAAGAAGUUUGGAAAACUGCCAACUCCUUGCACGAAGACUGAAAUAGGAUGAGCAGAGAAGGGUGUUGGUGUUGACAUUUUCAGAUGCUGUCAAGUCAACGGAGUUCUGUUGUAGUGGUUGCUUCAGUGAACAUUCAACGCUGUCGGCCUUAACACCGAAGAUAGCAACCUAACCACCACAUGAUAUUUCUCCCCCACCCUGCAAAGCUUUACAAAAAAAGGUCACAAUCAACAUUCAUUGCUGUCGGUGGGUUUAACUAUGUGGACAAGCUCACUGAACAAUGAAUGCAACUGUGGCCCCACAUUUUACAGUUGCCAUCGAGAGGAACAUCAGCUCUGAAAGCAGUAAUGAGAAGCAAACACUUCUUAUAGGCUACAUUUUUCUGGUUAAAAAAAAUAGUUCGGGGUAUUCACUUUUUGCUUGCUUGUUUUUAAGUGUUUAAUUUAGCUGACAAAUGUAAAACAAAUAAUAAUAAUAAAAUCACUGCCUUUUCCUUGAAUAUUGUCCUCCCAGGAUUCAGCAUCAUUGAAGCCAUAAAAAUUCUUAUUCUUUCUUUAUGUUGAAAUAAGCAAUAAUAUGGGGAACUUUGUGUGUAUCCGCUCCUAAGGACUCUGAGCAUAAGAGGAAAAAAUAUUUAAAUCUCAUUUUAACUAAGCGUUGUGGAAUAUUUCAAAUAUAUCUUCUGUGCUUGUCAUUACAAAUACAUACGGGAGACAGAGUUCAAAGAUAUAGAUAAAUUGUUCUAUUAAAUAAAAGGUUAGUUAAUUUUACAUUACUUAUUUUAAAUACCUAAAUAAAUACUAUUAGACAGCAAAUACUAUUUCAUCUGUCUUUUUUAGGGAUCUGAAAGAUGGCAGAGAAAUGUAUAUCCAGUAAUAGUAACAGAACCGUAGUUAAACUGUAAAAUUGCUGUAAACUUUGGGUACCUGUGUCACACUCUCAGUAUUGCUGAUGGUAAUAAGAAAAUAAAAGCAUAAAAAAGCUCACAACUUCGUCCUUAUUUCCUUACAACCCUUUGAGUCAGACACACAGACGGACUAGUCUACAUUUCUCACAUCACACAGUCAUGCAAGGUAAGUUCAGCAUUUAGACUUAGUGCAACUAAGUAUUCUGGAGUAGGAAUUACUUCCAAAAGUUAGGUAAUCACACAGCAUUCAUAUUGUCCCUCCUCACAAUGGGGUGUCCAUUAAGAAUGGUUUGAUUAUUUGCAAAGUUUCCUCAGUACAUCAGUUACACAACAGCCACCUCGCAUACUGUACUUUGCUUUGCCCAGAUUUCACCAUGCAGCAACUAAACAGGAUAGAAGCAUCAAAGCUAUCAUCUGAGAAUACAUCUGUAAUUGCUGCUUUGAACUUUGUGUUACCAGUCUACUUAAAUGCUAAAAGUGUAUUUCAAGCAUGUAAGAGAGAAGAACCCCUGGGGUCUACGACUCACUGGAAUACUACUGUGGUCAGAGAAACCUGAGAGAAAAUACUUAUCAAAAUAGAAGAUUCUGGAAUUUGGCAACAAUGGAAAGUAUCAGCACCCUGGAGCAUGGAUGGUUCUGUAUAUAUGUUUUUGAUGCAAAUUGAUAGCGUCUGAAUGAUUAGCACUGACAGGACAGAUCCCUGCGCAGGAAAAAUAUAAAGUUAGUUAUAUCCUUUUCUAAGGUGGUACUUUUCCUCAAAAUACAUGUUUUCCCUUUUUACUUCUAGCAUAGUUUUAUUUCUAUCAUAAUUUUGUUUCCUGCACUCACUACAUACUAAACAGCAACAAUCCAUAUCCUACUAGAACAGGGUGCAGAAACCUCAGCCAGUAUGGACCUGGGCACAGAUCAUCAGUCCACACUCAACAAAUAUUUUCACCUGGACUGCAAUUUUUCACUGGUUUCUGACAAACAGACUCGACAGCAAUGAUCACUUUUAUUGGUGCCUAGUAUAAUAUUUAUUAGUGAUUUUAGUGACACUAUGUUUUCAUAUAGAGACAGAAAAAGGACUUCUUAGUGUAUGGAUACACAAUAUUUCGCACAACUCAACUAGAAGUCAACUUCUAAAGAUCAGUAAUUUACAGAGUGUUCACUGGCAAAACAAUACAGUUAUUCCACACCCCACAAGAGAUUGUCUCACACACAUCUUUCCUUAUGCUGUAAAGCCACAGAACAAUCCCAUUUUGGUAACAGUAGCUGUGAAAUACUGUUGAAAGGAUUCAUGGUCAUUUUCAUGUUUGUGCUUGUUUGUUGGGGUUUUUUUUAAUGUGAUACAUAUGUACUCAGUGCAAUGCCCACAGGCCAUAUAGACAUUCUAGAAAAUUGUUCCUCAGUGUCACUCUAAAUAAUUCACUCACAGCAAUGUUUUUAGGUCAAGCAUAUCAAAGUUGCAGUAAAUGCGAUGGAGCUUGACAUAAUAGGAGCACUAGUUUUACAGCAGCAGAGAAGGAGAAGGAAUAUACUUCCAAUCCAUGAGACAUCAAUUGCUGUUCCCCAGUGCACGCGAUACUGUGCUUGAAGACAGCAGAGGUCGUACUAAGGGUUUGUUAGAAGGUUUGGAGUUGUUGUUGUUUGUUUAUUUUACUUAACCUCUAAGUGCUCAUUUUCUUUCCUGACUUCUGGCAUAAGAUGGGUCAAAACAUCUAACCCAACAGUUUCUGCAUUAAGUCUACAGCUUCUGUUUAGCCAUGACAGAAAUACAUUUGGUUUUACCUCUAAAACUACAAGUUAAAGACUUCCUAUGAUAGAAAUAGUCUGUGAUAUACAGGACUGUGGCAGGAUGAAUAUGUUAGACUCACUUUUUGGCACAGCCUAACACUACCACACUAACAUCUCUUGCUUUACAGAUGGUGAAGUGACAUAGAGGAAGUUAAAAAGUUAAAUAUAGAAGUAGUCUAUAGCUGAACUGGAAGCAGUAUCUAGAUGAUCUUGGACUCCUAUCAUGUCUUUCUGGAAACAAAACAAAACAAAAAACAAAACAAACAAAAACAAACAAACAAAAAAGAACCCUGUAAUCCUGGCUUUUCCCCUAAUGUGAACACCAUGUUUUUCUUGCUGACCACCCCCUGGUUUUUGUUUUGUUUUUGUUUGGUUGGUUGGUUUGGUUUUGGUUUUUUUUUUAUGUCUAUAUUUGUUACUGUGCCAGAAUUACAUGAUAGCUUUUUUUAAGCACUUGCAUAGUGACAUUUGGCCCAGAUUAAUUCUUACCUCUUGCCCUUUCCUGUAUUUAGGUUUGUAUAAUUUUGUCUUCAUUUUUUUUCCCUUUUUUCCUCCUUAAGUGCAAGCGCCAGAAACGCAGACCACAUUCCAAACAGUCCAGCCAAGGCCAGCUGAAAUAGUCUAAUGUCUCCUUAUUUUACAAGCAAUCACUGAUCCUUUUCAGCCAAAAAUAGCAUUUGUAAUGGCACCAUACAGUUAACACGUUUAAAUUUAUCUAACAUUAUUCUAUAGCUACAUUGGUGUCCACACACAUUCUUUCAUAGUUUGAAAUACAUUAUUUAAUCCCCUUAAAAUGCAGCACUUGCACGUUUUUGAACUUAGAGAAUGUUUUUCAAAAUACAGCUCCUACUCCCUCCUGGAGAAAAAAAAAUAAAAAUAAAGAUAAACUUCAAGAUGAAACUUAAAAUCUAUGGCAGCAUGUAAUAGUAGGAAUGAACUUUGAAUACAAGCAGAAGCCAAUCACGUUUUAGUAAAAAAAACCUUUACACUUGUCACUGUAUUUCAUUUCCCCCGUCACUUUAAUUUUAAAAGUACAGACUGCAAAAGGGUCAAUAGAAAAAAAAAAAUUAAAAAAAGUUUUUCAUAUAUAAAUGAGUUGCAUCUGCAAUGUGCGUAGACAUAAGAGAACCAUUAAAACAUUUGCUGUUUGUCACUAUUAGGAGAUAUUGCAGAUACUGUUGUAUAAUUUAAGCAAACAAUUUCUGGAAUGCAAAAUUUCAGUACUGUCCAAUAAGAAAUGUAUCAGAAGUAAAACAACAGUACUAUUUUACAUUAUGGCAUGUCAUUCUUUGUUCAUAUAGCAAGCAUCAUGGUUAACUGCCCCUCCUGCUGUCUGCAUCCAAAGUGUGUUUACAAGUUCAGUAUUUUACGUUGCCGUGUUAGAUGCUUCACUUUAUAACAACCAAUUGUCGCAAUCUGAAUGCACAAAUAUGUCUGACAAUAAUAUGUAAGAUAACAUUUAUGUUUAAGUUUAGGAAGUAUUGAUCUGAGGAGGAAGCAGGGAGAGUAUUCAAACUGUGCAGCUUCCAAAUACAGCUCUUCCCAAAAAAAUGAUAGAAUAAGCCAGUUUCUACAUCUGCUGGUUGCGAGACUGCCUUUGCAUUGUCACUGGAACCAAAAAUAGUCUCCUUCUCCCAGGUUUGGAUCUGAACUGAUACCAAAAAUUUAGGGAAUGCUUCAGGUGCAUAAACUCCAAUCCACACAAACCACAAAUUGCAACAGAAACUUUGUCUACGUUUCACAGUAGAUCAGAAAUAAGCCCCCUAUCUCUGCAGCUGGUCUAUACACCCAUGAUACAUAUUCUAACCUUUCCUCACUGUUUCAUGAGAUACAGCAUCUUCCAAGAUAGUCCUAAAAUUUUUGAUGAUGUUUUAACAAAGCCGCUUUAAUGCAUUUUAAGUUCGAAAACAGAUUAUCAUGAGACCUGGUGAUGUAAGUUGUUGUGUCACCUUUUGUUGGUUGUUUUGUGGUUUUGUUUAUUUGGUUUGGGGUUUUUAAAAUCACCAUUAUUUUCUCUAUUUGAAAUAUCACAGCAGGUGUUUGUGAUGAAAAAUGAGUCUAAAGUGGACUGGAUACCACAAUUCUAGGAUACUGAUGUUCAGACACCAGGUCAGGCAAAGAGGGAAGACAGGUUGAAAGUAACUUUCACCUGGCCAUUAAGAUAAUGGAAGUUUCACUUUGCACUCAAGAUAAACUACAAAGUACAUAAACUAUUUAUCUAAACUACACUGUCACCUAUGGGUAACAGCAAGUUAUCCAAAUAAUCAUGGUAUUAAGCUAAUGUUCUGUGAUUCUGUAAUUGAUUGCAUGGAUCUAUUAUUUAGUGAUUAAACAGUUAAAAUAUUUUAUCAUAGGCAUUUUGAAACACUGAAACAAAUAGAAAUACAAAAAUAUUAAUUUUAGCUAGUGAGAGCUGAGUCCAGGUGGUUGCCCUCAAAAGUCAACAUCACCAUCUGAUGUGUAAAACAUUCCUAAUUAUCAUAAAGUACACCCUGUGCUAAUCACCAUGUUUGCCACAAAAUAAUGAGCCAUGAUAAGCCUGGAGUUCACGAUGAUAGAUUUACGUGUAAAUGCCAUCCAGCUCACUGUCUCGGUAACAAUAUGCUGCUGGUUACCACACUGACAGGCAUGAUGAAAUCACUGCAUCCACUGUCCCGCAGACUACGGAGGCCAGAAACUGCUAGAGUGAUAGCAGAACCAGCAGCACUUUCAGACAGACAUUCAGGAAAGGGAAAAAAGACAGUACUUUAAGACAGCUGCCAGCUGUGGCCUACAGAAUAUCCUCAAGGAAUAUUUGUAGCCUCUCCAGGAAGAUGUCUGUACAUCCCCAAAACAAUUGCAGGAGAUAAUUCCACAAGUUCAUACGGAUCAUCACCUGCUAACUAAUGAACUCAGAUUCUCUGCUGGAUUCUGUCAACAUGCUUCUAUCGAUUUCAGUGGAAUUAUGCCAAUUUGUACAAGCUGAGGAUUGGGCAAGCAUAAGAGAAAUGUAAAAAUAUAGUCACACAUCUUACACUAAAUAAAAAUGCAAUCAGAGGUAGAUGUCACUCUUGGGGGAACACAGAGAGAGAAACAAAAGAACAUGUACUCGAAAUACACGUGAGAGAGAGCAUUUCUGCCCGCAGAAAAACUGUGGGUGGCCCUGGACACACAGCACUUGGAUGCCUAAGUACUCCAUUUGUGCAGAUUACUGUUUUGCAUGUACCAAUAGGGAACUUUAGAACACAACGGGCAGGAGAGUAUUCUGGGGCAAAAACAUCACACCCACACUAUGGUAAUCUGGCCUUUGCCACCACAUGACAGUCUCCUUCACUUCAUGAAGCUUGAGGUAUGUGGGUGGGAAAGAGCUCACAGUGUAUUUUUAUCCGACAGUGGCUCCCACAGCACAAGUGUAUCUACUUGAAGCCAUGGCAGCUAGAUUCCUCCCUUUCCCUUCACAUUGUGCAGUUUACGUCAUUGCACAUUAUUUUGAUACAGAGCUAGUAAAACUGAGCCAUUCAUUGGUUGCAACUGAGAGAAAAAAAAAAAAGGCAAAACAUCAUUACAUCAUUUAAAAUAUCUCUGUCAGAAUAUCCAGGAUCUUCUUCAUUUGGGGUGCAGCCCCCUCUGGUCCAGAACUAUGUACUGACUUUAGACAAAAGAUGUCUUAUAUUCUACAAAAUUUUAGACAUUGCAGGUAUGUGUACAAAUGCUUAAAACUGCUGACUUGAAGUGUCUUCUGAAAUGAGAUCACAUGCAUCAAGAGUAAGACAACCAAACUACAGGUCUGUACAAAGUGAAUACUAAAAACUGACAGUUAAUAGUAAAUUUAAAAAAAACCCAAAAAAGUACCAAAAAAAUUAAUACCUCCCCUUUUACCCCUCUCUCUGUUUGCUACACCAUCCAUCCCAUGUGGAUGCAGUCAUGCACCUAAAACACUCCAUAAAAACAAAACAAAAACCCACACACCACCACAAAAACGCCAAAACAUUAGGCUUUCUUCUUCUUUAUACAGACUUAUCUCUGUGGGAGUGUGACUUUUGCUUUAAACCUUGUACUGAUCUCUCAGGGACACUACUGUACCUGCUGCUAAUUAGUCAGGCACGUUGCUGAGGAGUAAUCAAAGUCUGAGACAUGCAAACCCGCACACUUUUUUUUUGAUAGAGCUUAGGUGCAUAGCGUUCCAGCUCAUUUUGUCUAGUGCUAGUGGUUCCUCUCUACUGAGAUGAGGUACCGGAGCCAUACUUUCCUGAAGAAGUAUUCCUGCCUUAUUCAUUUUCUAUGAGGACUCUGCCAGAUUAGUUCAGGGUUCCCCUGACAAAAUCAUCUACAAAGAAAUUCUGACUUGGAUGCCCAAAUCAAUAAAAAUUACAUUAGCAGCUUGCUGUGCUUGAGCUCACAGGGCACUGGUGCCACUAUCUUCAUCAUAACAGGAGGAGCCACAGUUUUAACAGGCCCUCCUUUCGUGUUGAGCAAUAAAGUUGGUGUCUCUGCAGUGCACAUAGAUGAAGUUGGUGUGUUCCCGAGCUGACUGCAGUUUACAUACCUUUGUUGUCACCUGAAGCUGUAACAGUUCUAAAGGGAGAGCAGAGACUCUAUAUUUACAAGCACAGAAAACUGCAAUGUGUGCUGAGGCUUUAUGUUCACUUUCAGAUUGUUGGCUGCUACAUUUCAUCAGCUCUUUCUAAAAUAAGGUUGCUCACUAACUGCUUUCCAAGCUUUCACAUAUGUAUCAUUUCCAUCAGCUACAAGUGUAAAUUUGCAAGCAAAGGGAACACACACACAGUCUGAUGGAAUCUGUAUAGAAGGUAAAGCUGUCACCAGAUGGCAUUUUUAAGUUUUGUGCAGCAAGAUAUUCAGAAGCAGCAUCUGAAUUUUGGAUGCUUCACUUUAUUUUUUUGGAUACUCCCAAAACACAGCAUUUGUUCCUAGAAAUAACUCUUGUGAUAUUUUGCGGAUAAACCUCUAACAGCUCACUUUUCAUGACUACAUACCUAGACUAUAAGAGCCCUAAAUUAGUACUUGGGUAGAGACCACUCAAAAAUUCAGUCCAUAGUGUCAGUAAAUAAACUUUUUAUGAAUGUAAUUUUGAGUCAGCCCUAACAGUAGCAAAAAUAAGUAGGUUGCAUGUUCCUUUCCUACAGGGAAAAGUUGCCAAAAAUAUUUAACUGUCACUUUUCAUCUUCAGAACAAUGUCAGCUACUGAAAAAAAAAGAUUUGCAAUGAGCAAUUAUGUCUUCAGCUUUCAUGUCAUUUUACAUCAUUCCACUACCAGCCAUGCUCAAAAGCUUAGAGGCAACAUUCUAGGUCAGUGACUUUUGCAGACAGUGUAUUUGCUGUUUGGUAAUUAAAUUAGAUACCCUUUAAAUAACCAGAUUCUGAAACAGACAGCCACUUACAAACACAUGACCGAAUGUAUCACUGGCACUCUUGACACUGGAUGAGGAAAAUCAAACAUGUUAGCAAUCAUUAUCUAUCACUGAGGAUUAUGCAUUUAAGGAUUAUGAUAUUAAGAAUAAGUGGAUCAGCAAAUCACUGCAGAGAGAAAUCUUUAAGAUGAAGCUAAAAGCCAGGCUGAAGGACUGACCUACUUUUCAUCAUUCAGUUUUAUUUAUACACGUAUAGAAUUUUUUCUUAUGUUAUGAUUAUCAAAAUACUUCUCCAACUAAGAAAGCUCUCAACUGCUAAUAAAACUAAAAAGAGAAUUAAGUACUGCAGUAGGUGCUCAGCUUUUACUUUUAAUAAGGUUUUAGCUUGCAUCUCAUGCAAAUAACCACUGGUGCUGUUUCAGCUAAAACAUUAAACAGCAAAAGAGAGACAUUAAUUUUCACUUGAAAUAGAAAUUUUUGUGAAUAAAUUAAGACAUUUACUCUCAAGGUAAGACUUAAAAUAGAAAUUCUAAAAAAAAAAAAAAAAGUGUAUUUCAUACCCAACAGGGCUCAGAGGUGUCUACUGAGUAAAAACUACAUAGGUUUUUUUGUGUUUUCAAGACCUGGAUUUGGAGAUGAACAUUAAAAAAAAAAAAAAGUCAGAAAAAGAUCUGAUGGCUGCUACAAGAUGUGUUCUUUGUAAGAGUAGUUUUCGUCAUUUCAAGGGACAGAGAGCCCUUUCUGAUUAAAAAAAAAGAAAAAAAAAAAAAGAAAGAAACAAUUAAAGCAAUUUAUAGAUGUACUAUAAAAAAAAAUCAUUUAGCCUUCAUUUAGCGUAUGUUUAAGGAGUGAUGUUAAUGGAUCAAGGCAUGCAAACGAUAGCAGAGCACAGAAAGAACACAGCUUGAAGCUGCAGUCUGGUAAGUCAUGCAAGUGGUUCCACAGCAGAGGCUAUUGGGGUUCCCCAGUUCAAGCAUACAUUCUUCAGCCCACCCACAAGGUUCAGCUCAGAGCUCUUGGUAGCUUAAUUCCCUUAUCAUCUUGCUGACAAUCAGCAUUCAAGUGGAAGUCCUCAAUUUGCAACAACCAUGCAAAAAAAGUCCAAUUUUAAAAUCCCAUUUAUCUUCUCUUCCGGAGUCUGACCAAUCGGCCUUUUAUUUCAAGAUAGACACAAACUACAAGACACUAUCAACAGUCACAGAUUAUGAAAAUACCCAAUCUACCUAACUGUGCCUGCCCACCACUGUAAGGUCAUCCAAACCAGCCCCACAAGCUGAAGAUGACAUGGUACGAUUAUAGUGUUGCCAUAGUUUCUUCCAAAGUACUGAGCUAGAAAAUCAGUCUAAAUGUUUACCGGCAUCACUUUGGUUGAAACACAUGGAAAAGAAUCACUUAAGAAUGAGGAAAAUGCAACCUACUACAUGUAUAUUUCUGACUAUUACAAAACAUUGAAACUGAACAAGUGGUUUCUGUGUCCCACCCAGUGCCAAGGGUAGAGGUUUGCAGUGCUGCCACAUCAGCUGCCCGCAGGUGUUGCAAUGGGUGGCUGUGUAAAGCAUCUAUUCAUUGAGCUCUGUCACUCCAGUUACAUAUUCUUUAUGGCAAUGAAAACAGAGAAAACAAAAGCCAGUUAUGCGUUAACUUCAGAGCCUUCAUACCCAAAAACUUCAGCUCUGUGCCUCGGGCAGUGCAGCCCAGAAGAGGCACGGCAUAGUCUCAGGUAUUUUUCUGCUCCAAUAACCUGUCUCUGCAGCGCUUACAAAAGAUUAAAAAAAAACAACAAACCACCUUGAUAUAGGUACUGAUAGCAGAAGGUCAUCUGACAUUUGUCAUUUGACUGACAAAUUUUAUUUUUAAACUUUCCAAGUUCACAGGAAGGCUUUUUUUUUGUGAAAGGUCAUAAAAGGAAUGCUAAAUUUAUCUGUAGGUGCUGCAAGAGUCAAUGCACAAGAAGCGAGGAGAUGCUGUUCUUUCCAGUUUGCAGUUCCUGUUGGAAUUAUUCUGCAGUUGCACCAAUUUCCUCUUUGUCAGGGUAAAGCUUUUAUGAGAUCCCUAAAGUCUGUGUGCAAUAUUUAUUCUGUUAGUCUAAUUAAAGGUAUUACUACAUACAAAGUUACUGGAUCUGUCCCCAAUGACACUUCAUCUUUGUUUUGUUCCCCCCCAACUGUUAAGAGUUCAUUAAAAAAAGUAAUCUGGCUUCCAGCAAACUUAUGUUCUACUUUCAUCUAGAAAAGCAUAAAUGUCUUGAGCCACAACGAUGCAGUAACCACAGCACUCACCUUUCCAACUGUCUACACACAUCAGCUUCUAGUAAAUGGAGUAAUAUGUAGCAUCAGUCUGUGGUGACUUUUAUGACUGGGAUCAAAACAGCUCCAUCAACUAGCGAGUGUGAGUAUUACCUUUACCAUCUAACCAAGUGAGAUUCCAAAAUUAGAAGUACAGAAGGUAUUUCUGAUGAUCAGAAAGAUUUAACAUCUCUCUUCUCAUUGAAAAUUCUAUUUGAAAUAAAAAAUGAAUGCUUCCAAAUCUAGUAUUACUGUACACAAUGUACAGUAAUUUGGUAUCUCACUAAAUUUUUCAAAAGAACAUUGAGGCAAAAAAUCCCUCAGUUCUCACCAACGAGACACUAGGGAAAAUUAAAAUAAGGUUGCAUGACAGGUUCGUUUUUUGUGUCAUUUGAUACGGACUGACCCUGUAUUCAGUGUAACUUUAGCUAAGAAAUCAUUCUUCUCUCAGAUCACAGUCUUGAGGAACAUAUAACAGCAGUUAAACAUGCAAUAAACCAACCAAAGCAUUUAGUAUAGCAACUGGACAUCCCUGUCCCCUGACAACAAAUUAAUGAAUUAACCAGAAAAUACAUUUGCUCAGAAGAACAAGCCUUUUGUGAUUUCCAGUCAAAUUGCAUGAUAAAUGUGAAUCAAAACAGACAGGAGAAAAAUUGGAAUCUUAGAAGCAUUUGUUUCAGUAUUUUAAAGCAAAAACAUGGAACAUUUUUCAUCUAGAAUAACCUCUUCUUAAUACAGAUUAAACACAUAUAAAAUAAUUCCUAAGUUAAAAUAUUAUUUUCAGACCAUGUAUUUGAGUUCACCCAAAAGUAAGUGAUGGGAAAGCUAACCCCACCUUCUCCCAUCUGGUUUGCUUUGUCCUGAAACCAUUUCCUCUCUCUUCCUCUCAAAUGCACUAAUUCAAUCACUGAACUGAAAAAGUCCAGCUUUAUUUAACAUCUGUACUUCAAUGCACAUAUGUAACUGGGAGAUUGCAAAGCCUUUUGCUAAGCAGUAUUCAAUUACAUUUUGCAAAGAACACCUUUAAAUUUGUUAGGAUUUUGAUACAUGUUGACAUGGGUAGUAAACAUAAUAUGGAUUCUGUCCCCAGACUACCAGUUAAUUUUCUCUAGACACCACCAAAGAAAAAAUUUGGUAGUGGACAAACCAUCACUUCAGGGAAUGUACUGCACAAUAAAUUGAGACAGAGCUGAGUCCCUUUCUUGCUCCCGUUAGAGUCCUUCCACUGCAGUAGGCUUUGCCCCUUGUUGCCACCAUGACACCCCAGAUUGUAUCUUCACCCAAAGAGUCAUGCAAGACCUCCAAAAGCAUAAGAGCCAAUAUCCACGUAAAAAGUCAGCACUAUUAUCACUUGGACAAAUUAAAUAUUGCAUGGUAAAAGCUAUUUCAUUGGAUCCCAAGGCUACAACUGAGGCAAGCAAAGCAGAUGUCUGUUUGCUUUAUAAACACUACAGAAAAGCACAAAAGCAUAAGCAAAAAGUUGAUGUCAAUGCAGAAAGAAUUUUCCCUUCAUACCAAGGAAUUACCAGAAUCUAUGCAUUUUUGGCGUACCCAUAAAAAUAGUAUUUACUCAUAAUGAAGCUUAAAAUAAAAUGCGAAAGGCAAUGACAACCAAAAUAUGAAAAUACAGGGAUAAAAUAUGUCAUUCGAUGAUCUCUCAUUACCACUCAUUCCCUUUCCUCCCAACAAUUUCCAGGCAUAUUGACAAGCAAGUCUCUCCUUACUGUAUGAAUCUUUAUUCAAAAUCUGAAAAGCCUGUCCAAACUACACAGCAUCUGUUAAUCGUGCUUUGGAUCUCCAAGGUCGAGUGGUGGUUGCAUGGUACAAGGUGAUACAGAGCAGCCUUUUUAUUCACUUGCAGCUUGACCAAAAUUAAUUUAGUUUCUACAUUUGCCAGUUUUAAGAAGUUUGAAAAAAUAAGGUCCUUACGAGAGAAAGCUAAGCUUUUAUCAUUCAUAAGCAGCAGCAUGGAAACAUGCCUCACAAAGCUAUUUGAGAGUAACCAGGGUUCUACUGCAUUGGAUAAAGAAUGAAGUCAACUGUGGGAUGAUGAAAGCUGGCAAAUUAAGUAAAAUUUUGCAGGGUGAUUUCAACUACCACGGUGGUCUGUGUGAGACAGAGAAAACUUGCUGUUAGUUUAUUAAUUUAAUUUUGGGGCUGGGAUUUUCAGUGUUUUAGGAGUAAAAACUGAAUACAUUACUAUCUUAGUCACCUUUGAAAAAAUCUAAGUAAUAAUAAAGUAAACAAGAAGAAUCUGGAUAAACGCAAUCCAUUAUUUUAGCUCUGAGAAUCCACUAUUUGCUUUUUUCUACCCAGGCAAUUGCUCAGGUACUGGAAACCUGGCAAGAUGACCUGCUCACUUUCCAUUAUGCAGGGAAAACCACCCCAUUCAGCCUCAUUCCAGAGCUGUUACCCUUACUCUAAAAACAGAAACUGAAAUGAGAUCAGUGGUACUUCUUUCAUCACUGCUUCUGGAAAAUGUUUUUGCUUGAUGUGUAAUACUCAUUUCAACAUUCCAUCUGAAUGCUUUUGAUAUGAAAAUCCCCAAAUGAUAGCACAUAUGAGCACAGAACAACUAAAUCUACACAGCAGAAGACAGAAGAGAGCAUGAACUGGCAUCAGAAAUCUGGACUGCAAUUUAACGUAACUUGUAGUUUGUUGGGUUUUGUGUGUGAGGCUUUUUGUUUAUCUGGGUUCUUGUGCUUUUGUUGUGGCUUUUGUUUGGCUUUGUUUGUUGUUGUUUGUGGGUUUUUUGUUUGUCUUGUUGGUGGGUUUGUUUGGUUUCUGGCAUUUUUGUGGAUUUUUUUUUUUUUUUAGGGGAGCAGUGUUAAGAUCAAAGAGCGAAUGAACAUGGGAUGCGAGGUAGAGCUUCUUUGGCAAAGUACACAAAGUACACACUUUUCUUCAAAAGAAAAGAAACCAAAACCAGUCUUAAUUCCUUAACAUAUCCUAAAAAUACAAUGUGGAAAAAAUGACAGAAGUCAGUUAUCAGGAAAUUUUCUGGAACCUGGUUUGCAACAGAGAAUUUAUCAUGCAUUCUUGUUGCAUAUUAUCUCAUUACAGUAUGUAUAAAGUUGUCCAGACUUACACAGAACAAGAUUUUGAAUCUCAGAACACUUUAUUCACUGCUGAGACAUAAGGGUGGCCCAAGGCAUCAGUGAACAUGCCUGUACUGGUUUCAGCAGGGAGUUUGCCCUAGUGACUGAGCAAGCCAGCACCCAAACACCCUGGGCACACAGGGAAGUUAAAGACAUCAGUUUGCUGUUCAGGUGACCUUCUUCAUCUUACACACACACAAGCAGCAUCACUAAGGAAUCAAGUGGUGACCUUAUCAAAAUGGAGACCAAAAGAACCUGACAGAGUAUGUUGCAAACCGGAAUAUUUUUGCUGUGUCUGCCACGGCCUCUACACAAUCAAGGAAGGAGUCGUGCAGCCCCUUGCUGGAAGACCUUCAUUUCAGCCCAUGAGUAAUACCAGGAGCGCUUCAGCACAUUUGGGUUUGCUGGCCCUCCAGUCAGCUCCCAAACCACAAACGGUGAUAACACUGGCAGCUUGUGUUCCUGAGAUAAUCUCAAAGCUUUUCAACAAGAAGCCACACAACCUCAUGACAUAGACAAUAUCAUUAUGAACUUCAAACACAUAACAGAUCUAUUGAAAAAAAGGGAAAAUAUGAAAUGCAGAAUGUUAACUUUGGAAACAAAGUAAUUGUGUCAUAGACUACCCUUAAGCCUCUAUUUCAACAUGUCAUUGGAGGAGGAAGAUGUUCCUGAAUGGUCUUCCCUUAAAGAAGUGGCUGGAAAAUGCACAUGGUAAACAAAGUUGAAAAGAGAAAAUACAGGAAAUUUAAGUGUCAGCUACAGCAAUUUUAAUGCUAUGCAAGAUUCAGGAAAAAAAGGUUAAUAUAAGUUGAAUUAAUCAUGUUAGGUUCAAUAGAGUAUGGAAAUUAAAGUCUGAGGAUUCAAAAUCAUGCUUAAUACUACAUAAGGAUUACUCUUAAAAAAAAACCCAACCACCUUACUACUCUUUGAUAAGUCUAAGAACUUUCCAAGCACAGAAAAUGACCCUGUUAAAACACAGAUAAAAUACCCAGCUUUCAAGUAGUAUUUAAAUAUGUGUUGUAUUAAAUUGGUUGAGUGGGAAGCCAAAUCUUUAUUGGACUGCCCACCGUGCCUCAAAUGUACAUUAUUUAAAGUAAAUCAAAUAAUCAAUUCAGUUAAGUCAAGGUAUGGCUGAUUAUUAUCAAUUAUUAUCAAUUUGAUUAUGCAACAUUCCAAUAAACCUUUAUUCAAGAGCUCACAAGUUCCUCAUUGCUCAUCAGGCAUGCAGAGAUAGGUGUUAAUUAAGAAACUCCUCACUCACACAACAAGAGCUGCUAUAACUUAAAAAAAAAGUGUCCUUAAAAAGAAAGAACUAUCACUUGGUAUUUUUAAACAGCUGUUAAACACAGGGUCCCAUUUCUAAAUCUGUAUUCUCAACAGCUCUCAGAAAUGACUGGUACUUCAUAUCACACACUGGAAAACUUCACCCCUUAAAGCGAUCUUUCACACAUUGCUUCUGUGCUUAUCUAUAAAUAUAAUGAGCAAUCAGCUCCCACAGUGAUGCCUUACUGUCUGUCUAGAACUACUCUUCUAUUGUAAAAUUUUCAGACAGUGCCUUUGCCCGUUAAUAAACAAAGCAGUCAAGCUUGCUUCUUUUCACUAGUUUAAUCUCAGAAUAUCUAGGCUGCACACAAGCUCGUAUAUCUUUAUGAGCAACUAUUUGGCACAGAAACAAACUUUAUUAAAGAUCUGAAUUUCAAGCUACAAAUCAGAAAUUGACUCUUUUAUGGCCUUUCUUUAUAUACAUAGUACAAAGCACACCAUUAAUAAACAAACACAUGCCCUAAACUCCCAGAGUCAGCUUUAUAGCAAAGCUGUCUUUAUGAACAUGAUGUUAUAUCUCUCUCAAAACCCACGUUUGCUGACGAGAGGAAGCUGUGUGGCAGACUACAUCUGCACCCAUAUUGUCAGAACAUACAUAUAUAAACCAGAGACUACUGUAAAUGUAUAUGCACAAAAAUAUCUUGUGAUACAAUGCUUAAUUUCAUAUCCGUUCAGCCAUCCCCCCCUAUGGAGACAUGGCUGCGGAUCUCUUAUUUCUCUUGAGUUUGUCCGUCCAUGUUCUGAAUUUGAUAUCUACUUAAAACUGUUUUGAAUCUAAUCCAUUAGGGGUUAAAAAAGCUCUUAUGAAGAGGCUUUUAACCAUUGGAGCUCUUACCAUGGCAUUGGAAACAUGGGUGGCAUAUUAAAUAGUUACACCACCAGAUCCAGACAAAAUCCCAUUUGAGGCAGAAGCUGGGACCAGCUACAGGAAAAUGCUAAUAGGCAGUCAAAGACAAAGUCCCUGGAUUCAAGCAGGGCAGACAUUCAAUGCCGCUUUCCACUUCUUGCAGAUGCAUUUAGGAGAGGCACCACCUGUUUCCCCAGAUGUUUACGUGCUUCUUUAGAAGAUAACUAAUCAACCAGUUAAUCAACCCUAAUUGUGUUAUGUGAAUUUUACAAUUAAUGGAUAAUCCACAUGGAAAACAACCCUGAAACUUACUGUGUUUUAUCUACCCACAGUAGUCCCACGAAUUUCUAAAAGUUACAAGUGCAUCCACGCUUAAAAGAAAUUAUCCUGAGGCCAAACUGAAGUAAAACCAUUGAAACGUUUUCAGGGAAGCUAUACAUUAUGUAAGUUAUUGUACAGCUUGGCCCUCUUUUUUCCAAAGAAGUUUCUCAACGCCAAGAAAGACAGCACUCUGUUGGCUUUGCAGGGACUACGGUUAUAUAUUAUACACUAUUCUAGUCACACAGCCUGAGAUGAUUGAGGUUACAUAGCUGCCAUUUUCUUUGUUCCUGCUAUUAAAGGCAAACUAAAUGUGGGAUAUAAUGAAUGAAAACUGUGACUUGUUACUAAUGUAAGUAGAAAUACCUAAAGAAAAUACAAAAAAGAAAAAUCAGCUAAACCAAUCUUAGAUGCAUACGCCUAGGUUUAAUACAAGCACUUUCAUUAAAGUAUCAAUUAAGCAAGUUUGAGAAUAUUUUGUAGUUUAGGAACCUAAGCAAGUAUUUCCACCCUGUAUAAUGAAGCAGGCAACUUAAAAAACAGAUCUGUCAAAAGCCAGUUGAUAUAUGGGUACUUGCACUUCAUACACAUUUGCUAGCUUGUAGUUGAGAUCACCUGCACUCAUUUAAAUCUAUUGCUUUCCUUUGUAGCAAACAGCAAGAAGAAAUUUAAUUGGUAUUUGGUUUAGGAUAUUUUUUGUAUGUAUUAAUACAUUGGUUCAACUUCUUGGCUAAAUUUUUUUGACCAUCCCUUACUAUAGGGGACCUGAACAUGAAGACAAACUGAAUGCAUGCCGUUUUAUUUACACAGCUUUUUGUAUGUUUAUCACCAGCUUCUAGUUGAAGGGAAACUUACAAUAGUUACGGAAGAAACAUACCCUUUCUGUCCCAAAAGCAUGUUUUCACAAAUAUAGGAAUAUUCAAGUUACAUAUCUAACUUUUUAUCCCUGACCCCUCUUUUUUUCAGAGCCCUUUUCUGUCUCUCGUCGGGUGCUGAGUCCUUUUCUUUUAAUUUCUCCUAAGUAAUACACACAUUUAUUUGAUUUUCAUUUGAGUCAGAUUUUUAAAGCCAAACUGUGCUCAACAACAGCUACAAGCAGUAGAUUCCCAUUCAUAAUUUUCUUCAAACCCUAUACUAAAGAGAGAGAUUUAACUCACACAGGUUAUUUGUCUUGUAUGAUACAUGGAUAAGGCUUUUUUGUAAUGUCCAUUUCAUACACGGUUUAUUAUUUGUUCCCAUAGCAUACACACAGUGUUAGGUGGCUGAGAACAUAAAUUAUUGCAGUAUUCUCAGAAACAAAGUUCACAGCCCAUCUGUGUUAACUAAUAUGUUGAUUUUGUUUCUCUAAUUUAUACAAGUCACUUCAUGACUGAAUUUUUCUACCAAUCUUACUGGAAAAAUAAGGAGUAGAUAAACGCCAUCAUAUUUAAGCUUUUGAUUAUUUGUAAGACUAGGUUCUCAAACCUGACUUCAUACCGGAGACAGAAUUUAACUCCACAAAAUGGAAUAAACUUGCUUCCCACUCUCCACCCUUAAUCCCAGCAACUGCCAAUAAUGAUUUAAGGUGCAGCCCUGAUAAAAUAUGAAUGCAAGUUAGGUAUUCACUAUUUACUUCACACUUCCUUGUUCAUGCUGCGGAGGUAACAUUGAAAGUUUUGCAGUCUAAAUAGAAUUUCUGGCCCUACUGGUAAAGAAAAAAAAUAAAAUCUUCCUAGUACCAAGACAAAUUGUAUCUACAAUUAGAUUAUCAGCAUUGCACACCUUCUAGAAGGAAAACCACGUCACUGAAGAUUUAUCUUCCCUAAAAAGCAUUAAACCAGCUUCAGCUACUUUUCAGAGGCCAGUUUAGCAUAAAAGUAUGUAUCCUACCCAAGCUCAUAAUUUUUAACACCACCGGAAAAACAAAUGCU